UACGGGGGGGGCAAGCGUUGUUCGGAAUUACUGGGCGUAAAGGGCGCGUAGGCGGUUCGCUACGUCGGAUGUGAAAACUCUGGGCUCAACCCAGAGCCUGCAUUCGAAACUGACGAGCUCGAGUUCUGGAGGGGAAAGCGGAAUUCCUGGUGUAGCGGUGAAAUGCGUAGAUAUCAGGAGGAACACCGGUGGCGAAGGCGGCUUUCUGGACAGAAACUGACGCUGAUGCGCGAAAGCUAGGGGAGCAAACAGG
rnacentral:rRNA from 1 species